CUGAGACAUUUGGGGAAAGUGCUUUUAGCGAGCACCUUUGAAGUUUGAAGGCCGGCACGGCACACGAGGGAGCCAACAGGCGACGCGUUGUCCUUCUGCUCUGCGUUUAUGAAGCGGCGGCGUGACGGCGCUCACACUGACAAUAGACCUGGUUAUCGG